UACGUAGGGGGCAAGCGUUGUCCGGAUUUACUGGGCGUAAAGGGCGCGCAGGCGGCGCAUUUUGUCAGGCGUGAAAGCCCCGGGCUUAACCUGGGAACUGCGUUUGAUACGGAUGGGCUAGAGUUCGGGAGAGGAGAGUGGAAUUCCCAGUGUAGAGGUGAAAUGCGCAGAUAUCGUAAGGAAGACCAGUGGCGAAGGCGGGUCUCUGGACAGUUCCUGACGCUGAGGCGCGAAGGCCAGGGGAGCAAACGGG
rnacentral:rRNA from 1 species